UCGGGAUGAGACUAAGCCAUGCAUGUCGAGCGCUCUUCAGCUAUGUAGAGAGCGCAGCGAACGGCUCAAUAACACGUAGUUAACCUACCCUCGGGAUGGGAAUAACCCCGGGAAACUGGGAUUAAUACCCACUAGAUGAUUAUACCUGGAAUGGCUUAUCAUCGAAAGAGUCUGGAAACAUGCUUCCAGCGUCGCCCGAGGAUGGGACCGCGUCCGAUCAGGUAGUUGGUGGGGUAAUGGCCUACCAAGCCUAUAACCGGUACGGGCCCUGAGAGGGGGAGCCCGGAGAUGGAAACUGAGAAAAGGUUCCAGGCCCUACGGGGUGCAGCAGGCGCGAAACCUCCACAAUGCGCGAAAGCGUGAUGGGGUUAUCCCGAGUGCCGUCCGAUGAGGAUGGCUUUUUAUCGAUGUAAGGAUUCGAUAGAAUAAAGGGGGGGCAAGACUGGUGUCAGCCGCCGCGGUAAUACCAGCCCCCUGAGUGGUAAGGACGAUUAUUUGGCCUAAAGCGUUCGUAGCCGGCUUAUCAAGUCUUUUGUUAAAUCCAACGAUUUAAUCGUUGGGCCGCAAAAGAUACUGUUAUGCUAGAGGACGGGAGAGGUCGACGGUAGUCCAGGGGUAGGGGUGAAAUCCUAUAAUCCUUGGAGGACCACCAGUGGCGAAGGCGGUCGACUAGAACGUGCCUGACGGUGAGGGACGAAAGCUGGGGGAGCGAACCGGAUUAGAUACCCGGGUAGUCCCAGCUGUAAACGAUGCGGGCUAGGUGUUGGGGCAGCCACGAGCUGCUCCAGUGCCGCAGAGAAGUUGUUAAGCCCGCCGCCUGGGGAGUACGGCCGCAAGGCUGAAACUUAAAGGAAUUGGCGGGGGAGCACCACAAGGGGUGAAGGCUGCGGUUUAAUUGGAGUCAACGCCGGG
rnacentral:rRNA from 1 species